GUGCUCGCUUCGGCAGCACGGGUACUGAAAUUGGAACGAUACAGAGAUUAGCAUGGCCCGGCGCAAGGAUGACACACAAACUCGUGAAGCGUCCCAUAUUUUU
rfam:Tupaia chinensis contig38011, whole genome shotgun sequence.